rnacentral:rRNA from 1 species
AACGGAGUAGUGUUCAACACCGAGUACUAACUAAAGUGUUGACCGACAGCGCAUAUGAGCGAACGAAGAGAGCUCAUUACGCAAAUAAAAGUGCCAACACCAAUGACGUAGAACUGGGUGUUGAACAUUACUUAGUGGCGAACGGGUGAGUAACGCGUAGACAACCUGCCUUCUAGAUGGGGACAACACUGCGAAAGUGGUGCUAAUACCGAAUGUUGUAUUGAGCCUGCAUGGGCUCGAUACUAAAGGUGGCCUCUAUUUAUAAGCUAUCACUAGAAGAUGGGUCUGCGUCUGAUUAGCUAGUUGGUGAGGUAAUGGCUCACCAAGGCGAUGAUCAGUAGCCGGUCUGAGAGGAUGAACGGCCACACUGGGACUGAGACACGGCCCAGACUCCUACGGGAGGCAGCAGUGGGGAAUCUUCCGCAAUGGACGAAAGUCUGACGGAGCAACGCCGCGUGAGUGAAGAAGGUUUUCGGAUCGUAAAGCUCUGUCUUUGAGGACGAAUGUGUCUAAUGUGAAUAAUGUUAGAUAAUGACGGUACUCGAGGAGGAAGCCACGGCUAACUACGUGCCAGCAGCCGCGGUAAUACGUAGGUGGCAAGCGUUGUCCGGAAUUAUUGGGCGUA